rnacentral:lncRNA from 1 species
CAUAAGAAACUGCUGAAGAAAAAUAGGUUGAAUAAGCUAACAUUUUUCUUUUUUUUGCAGGAUAUAGAAGAACUUAGAUCACUAUGAGAUGAAAGAAGAGCCUAUUAGUGGGAAAAAGUUGGAGGAUGAAGGAAUUGAAAAAGAAAAUUGGGCAAUAUUAGAGAAAAUUAGGAAGACUGAAAGGCAAGACCAUUUAAAUGUGCUGCAGUGUCUGGGCCAGUGCAAGCUUCAGAUAGACUUAUGGAAGAGCUCAGGGACAUACACAGAUCACAGAGUUAUAAGACAGGGCUGAAGCAGUGCCUACUCGAUAGAAUCAGUCAUCAUGCAAAUAAAUGCCACCUGAGUCAAAGGCAAAGCCAGUGUGCAGCUUGGAG